GAGGCCACCCGGACGCGGCAAACAGGUCAACGUGGAGGUACCGGGCCACCAUGCUCAGUCUCAAGCUGCCUCAACUCCUUCGAGUCCAUCAGGUCCCCCGGUAUAGAGCCUGUGACCUCUACCCACAUUCCUAAACGUCCCUCCACCCAGAAUCCCCUUCUGCAGAACACCCUGUGUGUGUGUAUUUCUCCAUCCUAUUUGAUCUCAGUAUUCUGGUUCUGUUGUUUGCCCCAUGGGUUUGGAAGGCUGGUGUUUUGGGAAGAAGGCAUCAUGUCUGGCUACCGAUGCCCCACAAGCUCUGCCUUAGACUGUGUCCUCAGCUCCUUCCAGAUGACUAACGAGACGGUCAACAUCUGGACUCACUUCCUGCCCACUUGGUUCCCAGAGCUAGAAAACCCCGGGCUCAGCAAGGUUCUCCGCACAGCCGCCUUUGCCUACCCCUUCCUGUUUGACAACCUCCCGCUGUUCUACAGGCUGCGGCUGUGUUGGGGCAGGGCCCACAGCUGUGGGCGGGACGCACUGAGCUGCAGCCAUGGUUACCACCUCCUCUGCGCUCUGCUCACAGGCUUCCUUUUUGCAGCCCGUCUACCAGAGCGCCUGGCGCCUGGGCGCUUCGACUAUAUUGGCCACAGCCACCAGCUGUUCCACAUCUGUGCAGUGCUGGGCACCCACUUCCAGCUGGAAGCCGUGCUGGCUGAUAUGGGGUCCCGCAG
rnacentral:lncRNA from 1 species